rnacentral:rRNA from 1 species
GAUGAACGCUAGCUACAGGCUUAACACAUGCAAGUCGAGGGGAAACGAUGAGAGAGCUUGCUCUCUUAGUCGUCGACCGGCGCACGGGUGAGUAACGCGUAUCCAACCUGCCUCUGACCAAGGGAUAACCCGUCGAAAGUCGGACUAAUACCUUAUGCAGUCGUCGGAAGUCAUCUGAUGACGACGAAAGAUUUCAUCGGUGAGAGAUGGGGAUGCGUCUGAUUAGCUUGUUGGCGGGGUAACGGCCCACCAAGGCGACGAUCAGUAGGGGUUCUGAGAGGAAGGUCCCCCACAUUGGAACUGAGACACGGUCCAAACUCCUACGGGAGGCAGCAGUGAGGAAUAUUGGUCAAUGGGCGUAAGCCUGAACCAGCCAAGUAGCGUGCAGGAUGACGGCCCUAUGGGUUGUAAACUGCUUUUAGGCGGGGAUAAAGUGAGGGACGUGUCCUUCAUUGCAGGUACCGCAUGAAUAAGGACCGGCUAAUUCCGUG